GACGAACGCUGGCGGCGUGCCUAAUACAUGCAAGUUGAGCGCUGAAGGUUGGUACUUGUACCCACUGGAUGAGCAGCGAACGGGUGAGUAACGCGUGGGGAAUCUGCCUUUGAGCGGGGGACAACAUUUGGAAACGAAUGCUAAUACCGCAUAAAAACUUUAAACACAAGUUUUAAGUUUGAAAGAUGCAAUUGCAUCACUCAAAGAUGAUCCCGCGUUGUAUUAGCUAGUUGGUGAGGUAAAGGCUCACCAAGGCGAUGAUACAUAGCCGACCUGAGAGGGAGAACGGCCAAAUUGGGACGGGGACACGGCCCAAACCUCUAAGGGAGGCAGCAGUAGGGAAUCUUCGGCAAUGGACGAAAGUCUGACCGAGCAACGCCGCGUGAGGGAAGAAGGUUUUCGGAUCGUAAAACUCUGUUGGUAGAGAAGAACGUUGGUGAGAGUGGAAAGCUCAUCAAGUGACGGUAACUAACCAGAAAGGGACGGCUAACUACGUG
rnacentral:rRNA from 1 species